rnacentral:rRNA from 1 species
ACGGGGCGCAGCAGUGGGGGAUAUUGCGCAAUGGGCGGAAGCCUGACGCAGCGACGCCGCGUGGGGGAAGAAAGCCUUCGGGUUGUAAACCCCAGUCAUCAGGGAUGAAUAGGACAGUACCUGAAGAGGAAGCCCCGGCUAACUACGUGCCAGUAGCCGCGGUAAUACGUAGGGGGCGAGCGUUGUCCGGAAUUACUGGGCGUAAAGGGUACGUAGGCGGCUAUAUAAGUCAGGUGUGAAAUACCAGUGCUUAACACUGGAGUUGCAUUUGAAACUGUGUAGCUUGAGUGCAGGAGAGGAAAGUGGAAUUCCUAGUGUAGCGGUGAAACGCGUAGAGAUUAGGAGGAACACCAGUGGCGAAGGCGACUUUCUGGACUGUAACUGACGCUGAGGUACGAAAGCGUGGGUAGCGAACAGGAUUAGAUACCCUGGUAGUCCACGCCGUAAACGAUGGAUACUAGGUGUAGGGGGUAUCGACCCCCCCUGUGCCGGAGUUAACGCAAUAAGUAUCCCGCCUGGGAGUACGGUCGCAAGACUGAAACUCAAAGGAAUUGGCGGGGGAGCACA